rnacentral:rRNA from 1 species
CGAGAGGCCCAAACGUUAUUCGGAAUUACUGGGCUUAAAGAGUUCGUAGGCGGCAUUGCAAGUAGGGUGUGAAAGCCCUCGGCUCAACCGAGGAAUUGCGCUCUAAACUGCAGUGCCUGAGGAACCUAGAGGUGAGCAGAACAGAUGGUGGAGCGGUGAAAUGCGUUGAUAUCAUCUGGAAUACCGGAGGCGAAGGCGGCUCACUGGGAGUUUUCUGACGCUGAGGAACGAAAGCCAGGGUAGCGAACGGGAUUAGAUACCCCGGUAGUCCUGGCCGUAAACGAUGAGCACUAGGCCGGAGCCCUGCACAGGGUUUCGGCCGUAGCUAAAGUGUUAAGUGCUCCGCCUGGGGGAGUAUGGUCGCAAGGGCUGG